rnacentral:lncRNA from 1 species
CUUCAACUCCAAGUAAAAAUAUAUACCACAUGCCACCAAUACUUUUUCUCUCUAAAUUAGCCUUUCCAAAUCAUUGUAUAUAUAUAUAUAUGUAUGUAUGGCUUUUUUUUCUUUCUUUAUUUUACUCUCAAGCUAUUGAGUUUCUUUCAACUUCUCCUAUUAUUGAAAGACUUAAUUUGUUGAUUUAGGAGCCAUGAGCAAAAUUUAGUGAUGUUCCAAUGACAUAUCUCCCGAUGAUAUUAAAGGUCGUCGAUAAAGAAAGGGAUAUGCUGAUGAAGUGUUGGUGAAAAGAAGGGUAUGACGAUGGUGUAGGUCGACAACAAAGCUCCAAACAAAGAAGAGGCUAGCUGCAAAAGAAUUUGCUCAACAAAUUAAUGGUGAAGUAUAUACCAAAUUAAGUCUCUAGUAGGAAAGUUAAAAUGGUUGCAUUUGUUUGUGUUUUAAAACUAUGAUAAUUUUUUAUUUUCUCAUCCAUUUGAGGUAUUGGUUUUCCAUGAUCAAAUUUAAAUGUCAUUCGCACACAUGUAGUUUAAAUAUUUAUAUUUGAAAUUAAAAUCGAUUUUGUUUACUAUAACAACAACAAAAAAAAAAAAAAAAAGAAGAAGAAGAAUAAGUAGAAGCUAAUUUUGUUUUGUUUUUGCGUUUUCUAUUUUAUAUAAUUUUUUAUUGAAAAAAAUAAAUAGGAAUGAUAACCAUUUGGUUCUGGUUUUUGGUUUUUUAAAAAACAAAGCUUAAGUAUAAACACUAUGUCCACCUAUUUGAUUUAUUUAAUUUGUUGUCUACUUUUUAAUGGUUUUUUUUUUCUUUUUUUCAAAAACCAACCCAAAUAUUUGAAAACUAAGAAAAUCAGUUUUAAAUUAAAACUUGGUAUGAAAAUUAAACCAUGUGGUAAGAAACUUGUAAGAAAAACUAUAAUAAUUUUCACAAAACAAUAAUAAAUUAACCAAAUUAUGGUUACCAAGCACGACAUUAAAUUUUAAACAAAAAUAAAUAAAUAAAAAACAUAGAUCACACAAGAAAGAAAAAUUUUCUUUUUCAACAUAAAGUUCUAUAUUUAUAUUGGAAAAUAAAGAAUAUUUGAAGUUUUACCUCUUCUCUUUCCUUCAACAGCUAGUGUUGAUUUGAUACAAUAACCUUAGUCAAAGCACUAUCAUAUAAUGAAAUACAACGAACAAAUGAAUUACACAAGAACCUUGUGCCAAAAAAAAAAAAAAAGUAAAGAUAUUCUCUCACUUGUCUACCUUUUAAUUCCUUACAGAGACGAGAGCUUCUAGUAUAGCUAAAACAAAACCAAUCAAAUCUUAGUAAAGUUAUUUCUUUCUGAAUUAAUAUUGAAUAAUGUAGGAUCAGUUGUUGCCUUAUCGGGUCUUCAACAAAUUUUUAAGCUCAUAAUUGAAUAGAAAGAAUUAGAAGUGAUACAAUAAUAUUACAUUUACCAUAACUCAUAAGGUAAUUAAGUAAGGUUUUAUUGAUGACAUAAACAAUUCAAUCUUCAAUUCUUUUGAUCGAGUACACAUGUAGUAGAUUAGUUGACAAAAUUUGAAGACUUGUUGACACAUAAUAAUUAACAAUAUGAAGAGAUCUAUAGUACCUGAAUGAUACUAAUUAAUAAUUGUUUUCAUUAGUAUGUUAAUAUAUGGACAUAAAAAAAAGUACAAACUUCUUAUAUUAUUUCUGAAGUUUGCUCAUACAUAUAUAUAUAUGGCACUUUAAUCGCAUGUAUGCAUGAAACAGCACAUUAAUAUUGAGUAUAUGGAUAUGUGCUCGAUUAUUUUAAAUAUAAAAUUUUUGUAGGUAACAUAAAUAUGUAAGUUUUUUCUUACUAUAUAAAACAUUUAUUCAGCUCCAAUUAAUAGAGAGCUAUUCAUUUAAGCUGUAGGAAAAAUAGCUCCAUAGUCCAUGCUUUUCAGUUGGAUCAUUCACUUGUAUAUUUGGUGUCUUCAGAGUAAAUUGCUUCUUCUUCUCUUCUAUGAUCAUCAUCUCGAUCUGCACUCAGCUGAGAUGCGACAAAUCGGUCCAUGGCUCGCCAAUCCAUCGACUGGCUAUCGAAGGCAUGAAAGAAUGUUUGAGACGAGGAAGGAGC